GCCACUCCCCAUGCCCGUUGAAAUAUAUUAUAGUCAGAUAUUUACAGCAGUAAGAAAAAUUCCAAAUGUUUGAUAGGAAAUGAUGGAGAGAAAGAAAGUUAAGAUGAGGCGGCGAGAACCGUUAACAUUACUUGAUUAGGUUUAUCCCAGGCGGCCAUUUCAAAUUAUUAUGUAUGUGAUUCCAACCACACAGAGCACAGAAAGUGUUUACUCUCUUCAUUGAGGCGCUGGAUAAGUUGAGAGCAGAAGCUAAGUGUACUACAGUCUAUGGCAGAAGAAUAAACAUUUUCCUUUAUA